UUUUGAAAGGGUUUGAAACGGAAGAGUGGUGAAGUGUGACGCCAACGUUAGACAAUUAACUGACAAUUAACAGCUGGUCAUCGCGCAGAAAGAGAGAGCGCUCAGGUUGGAGUAAAGCUAAUAAAGCUAACAUGUUCCAAACACCUGGUGAUAUCAGAUUAGGGUGUAGACAGUCAGUUGGUUGGCGCUUGGUUGAUGGGGAACAAGGUCUGUGCAGAAGAAAGUUCAAGUGAGGAGACGUCAUCAGAAGAGGAAUAUGUUCCUGAUUUGUAGAGGAUUCAAACCUCUCAUGGGACGACAAAUCAGCCUUUCAAAAUCAGACACAAACAACUACAGAAUUGUGAGGUCUCCACCAGCAAGUCUACUUCCAAAAAGAAAAGACACAACCACGAAGAAGAUGUUCAACGUCUUCACAGACAUCUGGAAAAGACUGCAGAACAAGAACUGAAGGACUUGGAAGACCAUAGUUCACCAAAAUUAUAUAGUGAACUGUGUGAAAUGCUAUUUGUAGACAACCUACAGUUGACUGAUUCAGAUGCUGAGAGUGAGGUCGAUGAUGAAGAAGAGGUUGAUGCUGACCAUGAGGUUGAUGAGGGAAACUUCACAGAUCUACAGACUGAUUCUGCAGGACUGUUAACUAGGCAACCUGUAGAGGAACCUCUAGGCACGUCUGCAUCAUUCUCACAAGCAUCUCUGGAAAGUACUAGGAGAGCAAAAAAGCAUCCAUGGUCUCCCAUAGAGGUUGCUGCGGUCAUGAGGCACUUUGGAGAACACAUCAAAACAGGACAACUGGCCACAAUGAUAGAAUGCCAGCAAUGCAAAAAGGCUGAGGAUCCUGCUCUUGCUCGUCGAUCUAUCCAAAACAUAAGAGAUUUUGUGAGAAAUCGAGGUGUAACUUUGAAAAGAAAAGAAAAUCCUGCAUGGUUUAUGCGUCGUUUAUGCGUCCAUCAGUGAUAUCGGCAGCACACUUGGGACAAUGAGAACCAGACCACAGGUAACCUUUGUUCUGAUAUCACUAAUGGUUAAGCAUUUCAUCCUGUGAAGGCAGGACAAGGGUUGAUAUAGUUUGAGUUAUAAUGGCAAGUUGCUUGUUAAACCGAAUACAUAAACAUAUUGAUGUUUUUGAAUCAUUGUUUGGUAUAGAGCUGUUACUGUACUUUCAAAAAUAUUCAAAUGUAUUUCUACUAAUACGAUGAAUAUGUUAAUCUUGUUCACACAAUUUAAUCUCUGAUUUAACAAUUGUCAUAUGUUUAAUUUACUUUUGCCAUUCACAUAUUUUCCUUUAUGUUCACAAGUAGAAUUGUUGCUCCAGUUCUUGGUGAAAGUGCUGUGAAAUUUUCAGUGGAGUUAUAUUUCACAUUUCCAUGUUUGGGCUUAUUUACUUACAUUUCAUGUUUGUGUAUGGCAUGGUCCUGAUGAAUAAAGUUCGGCCCUGAC